rnacentral:lncRNA from 1 species
UAGGUUUCUAGUUUGAAAAGAAAUGAAAAUGUUUGCACAAUAUUUUUGGUUUGAGUUAACAAUGCAAAAUGGAGGUUUAAAGAACAAAAGGGGUGAGAGAGAGAGGUUAAGGGAUGUAAAACUUCUUAGAUGUUCACCUCUUGAGAUCAUAUGUAGAUGAUCCAAGUGAUUCCUUUGGAAAAGGCAACAAAACAAAACAAAUAACAAAUAAACAACAUAAAUGGAUACCGGAUGCCAAUCAAUGGACUUACACCAAUCUCACAAAACCAAAAUGGAUACCGGAUGCC